rnacentral:rRNA from 2 species
AAACCGCCCAGAGGUAAACGGGUGGAUCCGCAAAGUCGGCCCGCGGAAUUCAGCGCGGCGCGCAGACCUGGGCUGCCGUGGUUCGAGAUCCCUGGGACUCAACCGUGGUGUCGUUCGGGUCUCCGCCGCGUGCACUUUCCGCGGGCAGAGUGCCACAACCGGUUCGGUGGCGGCUAAAAGUUUGGAGGGUUGUAGGUGGGGGCGCUUGCGUCCCUACCAGCCCUCCUCUUGCGAGCCGUCGCUGGACCGAGGGAACGCCGCGCGCUUCGAGGCCACCCUCCCCUCCAGGUGAGUUCGACUGGGAGAGACUGGGCAACCGUGUCUCCCGACCGCUCAUCUGUGAUCGGCGUGGGGCUGGCCGGGCGUGCAUUGUCUGUCAAGGUUGGUGGCAAGUAUGUCGGCAUUCCACCCGACCCGUCUUGAA